rnacentral:rRNA from 1 species
CCUACGGGUGGCAGCAGUGAGGAAUAUUGGUCAAUGGACGAGAGUCUGGACCAGCCAAGUAGCGUGAAGGAUGACUGCCCUAUGGGUUUUAAACUUCUUUUAUAAAGGAAUAAAACGAGGCACGUGUGCCUUUUUGCAUGUACUUUAUGAAUAAGGAUCGGCUAACUCCGUGCCAGCAGCCGCGGUAAUACGGAGGAUACGAGCGUUAUCCGGAUUUAUUGGGUUUAACGGGAGCGUAGAUGGGUUGUUAAGUCAGUUGUGAAAGUUUGCGGCUCAACCGUAAAAUUGCAAUUGAUACUGGAAGUCUUGAGUACAGUUGAGGUAGGCGGAAUUCGUGGUGUAGCGGUGAAAUGCUUAGAUAUCACGAAGAACCCCGAUUGCGAAGGCAGCUUACUAACCUGUGACUGACAUUGAUGCUCGAAAGUGUGGGUAUCAAACAGGAUUAGAUACCCGAGUAGUC